GCGGCGAGCAGGCGGCGAGCGGGCUGCAGGAAAGGAGCCCCGCGGGCGCGACCCGCUCCUCGGGCCUCCCAGGCUCCGUGUCAGCAGUGCCUCCCCUCGUACAGGAGCUCGGAGCCCGGGGGACCGCUGACUCGGGUCCGCGGGUCCACCCGGAGAUAGGCAGACGGGGGUCAACUCGCGGUCUGGGGCAGGAGGAGGGGGGCGGUGGGAGCCUCUUGGGCGGGGGGAGGGAAGAGAAGCUGAGGGGUGGGGUGAGGCAAGGAUGGGCAGACACAGCCGGGGAGGAAGAGGAGCCCAGGCCUGGGGGCGCCCGGACCACGUGCGCGGGUGGCGAGCCUGCGCUGAGUGCGCGCGCGCGCGCGUGCACGAGCGGAUGAGCCGCAGUACCGGAACGUGCCUGUAGGGGGAGCCAGGUAAGAAGACUUAGCCCACCUGUAGACUCUUCGUCUGCCCUCCGAGGAAGGGGGUGCACCCCCUACCGGGUGCAGCAAAGGACAGGGUUCCCCACCUCCCCUCUCUUACAGCAUUCGCUUGAGAAAACUUGUCCUUGUGAAUUCUUUCGCUGCCCCUUGGAGAUGCAUUUCAGUCUCUCCAAGAGGGGACUUGAGGAUGGGCUGUGAGAGCCGAUGGUGGGUGCCGUCCCCCAGGCCUACUCCUUCGUCUGGAGACUCCGAACCAGGGGGCUGGCCCUGCGUGGCAGGUGAAAGCAAAGUGUCAUCAUCGAGGCAGCUGAGCUCCCAGAGGAGGUCACCCUGCCUGUUUCAAGGACUUGUCAAUGGGCCGUAGGCAGUUGCUGAAGGUGGAAGGUCUCAUCUUCUGUAGCUUCUUGCUGUUGAGAAGGGGUGUAGAGACGUCCCUACCUACAUGGGUCAGUAUUGGUCAGGUGGGGAAUUCAUGAAGGAAUCACGAAAAGCAGAGGCAGCUGAAUCCAACACGGACAGUAAGGUGGUAUCUCUGUGGGUAAGGAUCGUCUGCCGUCGAGAAGCCAUUGCAGCGAUGGAAUCUCUGCACCAAGCAAAAGGACAUGGGAGAAAACAGCAAAACAUCACUAGAAUAACUAGAAGGAUUAGCUCGAAUAUAAGUUCUUUGGUAGUUGACAAGAAUCCUCCAGUCCAAGAGUUUAACCAAUCAUCAACGGAAAGGGAGGGAUUGCGUAAAACAUCACUUUGAGUAUUCGGGUCAGUUAGAAAUCCCGAAAUAUUUGUGUGGUCGUCUGGAGCGCACACACAGCACUUUGUUUUUGUGAGAGUGUAAGUUCCACGUUGUGCAGCAGUUAGAACAUCUCAUGCCAUUCUGUUUUGUAGAACCGUUUCAUGCAUUUGAGUUAUUUUAGUAUUUAAUACGAUGAUGUUAGCUUGAGAGUCAUUUAAGGCCUUCACCGUGUAACAGACGGUGUAUUACCAUCCUAUAGACUCUGUUUUGUUCAGUAAGCAAUCAGAUCAUUAAUAAGAGGUAUUGUUUUUAGAAACAAGAAAAGUAGAGGUUAAUAGUUAGAGCAAACUACAAACCCAGGGCCUCCCUGUGCUGCCAGUGAGAUUUUUAGAUGUCUGGCUUGGAGCCUCCUCAGAUGAGAGUGGGAACAGGCAGCAGGAAUCAGAUGGGUCUUUCUGGUUUGUAACUCAAGUGCCUGUGGUGGUCCUUUUGAAUGGCCCAUUGUAAGAAGGAAUUGUUAGUACAAAUUGGGAGAGGAGAAUGAAAAGGAAAGAUACAACAUCAUGAGAGAAGUUUGAGGUCUUCCACAGGCUCGAAAGAAUAAGAAGGCACAUUAAUUUGCUCAUUGACUUCCCGGGAAGGGGGCACAGGCUUUACUUAGAUACGGGAGCCCAUGAAGAGUGCCCCUCUAACUUACUGCAGUGGGAGGACAUACUAUGACCCAGUAAGGACCUUCUCAUUUUGGAGUUAAGUCCCCUGCUGUAUUAGACUUUUAAUCCUUUACAUAAACCAGGGAUGGGUUUCUAGUAACUGUCAGAUCAGGUUUAGGGAGGACAUGGUUUGCCUAUUUAGAGAUUUAUGAAUUAACCCAGCCUCAAGUGAAUAAUAAAGCACUGUGGUCUUUAUCUAUUGAUAGGUCGACAGUGAGAAAAGUCUUUGCAUACGGUUGUUCCAGGAGUCUAUCCCACUUUCCAGUUGUUUAAAUAAUCCUAUGCCCACGGGGUCUUAUUAUUACCCCCACAGAAUAACAAGCACAGAAGGUUUUCUAUACAUGAAAUAUUGUGACAAUUUUUCUGAAGUUUACAUCAAGCUGUCUAGUUUAGGCCAACAGCAAACAUUUAAAGACAAUCAGAGCUGGAAUUUAACAUCCAUAAAGAUGUUAUUGAAACAGCGUUUCUCUCUAAAAACCUCAUUUCCAGAGACAGCCAAAUCAAGCCUAAUUUGUUUGCAAAACAAGUCCAGUUUUAACAAACUUGGCCUAAUGAUUUGCAUAACCUCAGCAGGAAUAGUCAUGAUCAUAGGGAUCUUUUCAAGUUUGCUUUGCUGGAAACUUUCAUAAGGAAUCUCCAGGUUGAACUUUUAGUAGCCCCUCCAGGCCAGAAGCCAAGCCAAGUGCUUCCAUCGACAGUCCUGCAAUACCCGUAGACUUGGGCGAAUUGCUCUCCAUGAGGUCCCCAAUGUAUCCUGAAGUCCCUGCACCUGCCAGGAAGGGACAUUUUUUACCCACCUUGUGAGGUUGCUGGGAACUCUGUAAGCGGGUAUCAGGCCAACAUUUCCAAGGGGCUUUAUGGCUCCAUGUUUCACAAAGUCAACCUUAGAUCCUUAGAGCUGUAAGGUCAUAUCUGAGUCUAUGCAUGACUCUCAUAUAUGACAUUCCAGUCAAAGCCUUGGUAAAAUAACCAGUAUUUCCAAUGGUGUCCUGUUACAAGGAGAAUAGAUUCUUAUUGAACGUACACAAACAAUUGUAAUUGCCAUGAAAGAAAGAAUACUCUGAGAGUUUUUGAGUUUCAGAGGGUUUAGGCAGAGAGAAAAGUUCAACGCUUCAGUUUACAAGUGAAUAUUUGAUGACAUUUUUUAGAUAUCUUAAGAGAAAGUUUAAAGAAAGGUUUUUUUAUUUUUUUAAAUGUUUUAUUUAUUUUUGACAGAGAGAGAGACAGAGCAUGAGCAGGGGAGGGGCAGAGAGAGAGGGAGACACAGAAUCGGAAGCAGGCUCCAGGCUCUGAGCUGUCAGCACAGAGCCUGACGUGGGGCUCAAACUCACAGACCACGGGAUCAUGACCUGAACCGAAGUCGGAUGCUCAAUCAACUGAGCCACCCAGGCUCCCCAAGAGAAAGUUUCUUUAAUCUGGAAGAGCAAACAUUAGAGAACCAGCAAUAUUUCAAACAAGGUUCAAAAAACUAUAAUCUUCUUCAGUUCAUUUAGUCCCAUGUUCCUAAUUCUUGUUUAAUUUGAAUGCAGCUUUUUAGUUCUGCCCAUUUUAGUGUUAAUCUUAAAGAUGCCAAAUACCUGUAUUUGUCCUAAAAAAAAGUCCUUUUCGUGAAUCUCCUUGAAGAUGAAAUAUGUUUUGUGAGAGAAAAAGAACAAUUAUAAAUGACAAAAUCUCAGAAAUGGACAUUGUUAAAGAUCUGAUAAGAGUUCAUUAUGAUGCAAUUGACAAGGGAAUUCAGUUAUUUCUGUGACACAUAACACUUCAAUAAUCAGAAUAUCAAGUGAGGGCCUUAUACCAAAACCUUAAAACUUUAGGAAUUGCAUAUAUAUUUGGGCAGUUACAGCAAUACAACCUAAGGUUUACCAUUGUACAAUGGUGCUUUUCCCAGUAACUCAGCACCCCAAAUAAAAUGCCUAAUUGGUCGAAAAAAUUUCGUUUACAAUUUAAAUCUUGGAAGUUUGUUAAAACCUUAGAAAGUUGUAAAGCACAUCCUAAAUAGGGUUACAGAUCAUUAGAAUCUUAAUUUAUUUACCCAACAUGGCAAUAAGAGAUCUUAAAGGCAAAUAUGUGUCAUUAUAUGUUGUUAGCAAAACCUAGCUACUUAAACAUUGAGAAGCUUUAACUUUAAUCAAAGACCUGAUAAAAAGGAAACCUAAAAUUUAAAAAAAAAAAAAGGAGGAAACCUAAAGCUUUGGUUUUCCUGGCAGACAACAGACCAAAAACAAAACAAAACAAAACAAAACCUUUGUUUACAUUGUCUUAUCAAGAGCAGAUCAACAGUCCAAGAAAACUUUGUCUUUUGAGCAGAGAGACAAGCAGAAUUUCAACCUUAGGCCAGUGUACUUUUAAAAUUCCAUUCCUCUCAACCUUAGACCAUCCUGAGCACACAUAGAAUUCCUUUCCAAAGAUUUCCCUUCAUGAACCUUCUACAACUUUCCUUUGCCUUCAAAUUUUGUCCCAAGCCAUUUGUCUCCAAACAACCAGUCUCAUUUAGGACAAAAUUAUUUUCUUUAAGCUUCAACCAAAAAAAAAAUGUCUUCCCAUUCAUUUUAUCUUUCUUACACAUCUCCUACUUUCCUGCAUACAGGGUUGCUUUUCUUAUUUCCAUCCGUCUUAAGUAUACUUAGCAGAAUUUUAACUUAGAAACCUUAGUCCCCAAGGAAAACUUAGGAACCAAUCAUAAACUGUUACACCAGAAUUCGUUAGAUAGCAAAUUCAUGAAUCAAUUAAGCACAAAGCAUGUUUUUCAAUAGACCCAAAUAGUCUUAGUUUCUCUGCAAUAAGUCAAAAGCAGAUAAACCUUAUGUUUAGUAAUCCAUGCUUUAGCCCUCCGUUCAGUUUGGAAAAGACCUAGAUGUCCAAAGAAUUUGCUCUCAUUUGUCAUGCAAACUUUAAAGCAAAAUUUUAAAGUUUCAGGUUACCAAAGACUUUGAAAGCUAUCUUAACAAUUACCCAUGAAAACUUUGAGAGAGACAAAAUUAACCAUUAUUUUAAGUCAUCUUUUUGCCAACAAAUUGCAACAGAGAUAACAUGAGCUUCUUUGACCUUUAGUAAACCUUGGUAGAAUAAAAGUUUCGUAUUUAAUGCUGAUAACUCUAAAGAUAGGUCUAUCUUAAUUAAACCAGCAAACUUAAAUUAGUUUAAACAAAUAUGUUCAACUUGGGUCCACUUAAAAGACAAUCUGAUCCCCAUUGUCCGUUUCUG